rnacentral:rRNA from 1 species
UACGUAGGGGGCAAGCGUUGUCCGGAUUUAUUGGGCGUAAAGAGCGUGUAGGCGGCUGGGUAGGUCCGUUGUGAAAACUCGAGGCUCAACCUCGAGACGCCGAUGGAAACCCCCCAGCUAGAGUCCGGAAGAGGUGAGUGGAAUUCCUGGUGUAGCGGUGAAAUGCGCAGAUAUCAGGAGGAACACCAAUGGCGAAGGCAGCUCACUGGGACGGUACUGACGCUGAGACGCGAAAGCGUGGGGAGCAAACAGG